UCUCGAGCAGCAACUGGCUGAGAUAACUAUUGAAACUGAGGCAGGUAACAUCAAAGAUGUGGUCACCAGAUACCAGCGACUGCUAAACUUGACAAAGAAGGGGUACACUAUGUCUAUGGCUUUUCAAAAGGCGGGCGUGUCAAGGAAUGCCGUGGCUGCCACUGCACCCAUUGCUGAGCUGUUCAUUGCAGAAAGACAGGUGUUGGAGCAAUUGCCUUUUUGCAGAAAACUGUCUGACCUAGUGAAGUUAUGCACUGAGAAAAUAAUUGGAGAAAUUGAAGAAAAAGUGGUAGAGAUGAAAAGAAAAAGAGAGUUACUUCCAUUCCAACUAAAAUAAGCCUUCAUGGGGGUGACAGAAACUACUCACUAUAGCUUUUCACUAAAUGCUCAUAUUAUGCUUUUUGGUUUUUCCCUUUCCUUUAUUAUGUUGUCUUUUUUGUGCAUGUAAUAGGCUUCCAAAGUGAAAAAGCCCAUCGUUUGUAUUAGAGGCUCUGUUUUUGUUUUAGAUGUGUACAUUUUGUUUGACCAGGCAAUACAAUGCUGUGAUUUUUUGUUUCAUUAUUUGUUCUUUGUGAAUGUACUGAACAUGUUGAUCAGCAGAUAUGUAAA